GCCGGCGCCACAGAAGCCACUGUUCAACCUCCGUCAUCGAGAUCCACAGUAUUUUAAGGCCAUUUGCUCACAUACUGCCUUUAAUGGUCUCCUACUCCUGAGGGCAAAUCAAGUAUAUUUUCUUGUCCUGGGACACUGUGAAGAAGCCCCUCACACCUCCCACCCCGGCACACAGAAGGUGGGCGAAGUUGCAAGACGCCAGAGAAGGAGACGCACAGACAGCAGCCCGGCGGCCUGAGGUCAGGCCGGGGGUCGGACGAUAGCACGGGGUUGACGUGUUGAUGGCAGCUGCACGGGGCCAAGGUCCUUACGCUUCACACGCCCACAGAAGUCAUACAGCGGAAGAAAGGGGAUCCCGCACACAGUGAAGGGGGAAGUGUGGUCUCCAGAAAAUUCCACCUUCCUGUGACCCAAAUUCUCCACCAAGUGAUGACAUUCUGGGCUGUGACAAAGGAGCUUGGACUGAACGAAGAAAAAGGUAGCUGGCUCUUCUGGAAGGAAAGGCCAGGGAGGGGUGAGACCAGGACAGACAGCAUGAAGCGACUCAGGCGCCCGCGGCCUCUCUCCGAAUGUGUGGGACGGAGACAGGCGGCAGAGGCAUUUCACCAGCAGUGCAGGCUUCCACCUUCCCAGGGCCACGUGAUCCUGGUGAAACUUUCCAGUUUCAAAGUGACCACCCCCCUCCCCCCGACACCGUGCCUUCGUCUGGUCUACACUUUUCUUCUUUAAUGGGAAGAAUGGAAGAAAUAUCAGAACAAAUAGAACUUAGAAAGUUCUAAAACCUUUCCUUGAAACUUACUGCGUGCCACCAAUAACCCUAAAUUGGAAAAACUCAGUAAUGAGGGUCCUUUUUAAUUACCAGCCUUGAAUCUAACAGCAGCCUUUCGUGCAUUCAAUUGCUCAUUGUCAAUAGAAUCAUCUUUCAGAGUGUUUCAUCUAUCAACAGACAUUUGAUGAUCUAUAUUGAAUAAUAUUUUACUCUGUAUAUUUAAAAUAUACUUUCAGGGCUUCCCUGGUGGCAUAGUGGUUGGGAGUCCACCUGCCGAUGCAGGGGACACGGGUUCGUGCCCCGGUCCGGGAGGAUCCCACAUGCCGCGGAGCGGCUGGGCCCGUGAGCCAUGGCCGCUGAGCCUGCACAUCCGGAGCCUGUGCUCCGCAACGGGAGAGGCCGCAGCAGUGAGAGGCCCGCGUACCGCAAAAAACAAACAAACAAAUAUAUAUAUAUACUUUUAAAUGUCCAUAAACAUUUGUUAUUGGCAAACACUCUCUGAGAUAACAAAAAUAAACGAUUCAGCCUUGGUGAAUACACUAAAAAUGUCCCAGAAGUUCAGAUUAGAUUCUAGCUGUCCCAAGCACACUUCCUGAGCUGGCCCACUGUGGAUCACGUGAAUUGUUUAUGUCCUCAUCUGUUAAAGGGGUAUAAUGCCUACCUCAGAGACAUAUGAGAUUAACUGAAGCCUUCUCAAAUCAUUAAAUGUCGGGAAAAUGCCAACUAUCGUUUAUAACUAAGGAAAAAGCUAAACAUGAGAACAAUAAAUAGAAAUGCAAAAUAAACACGUGCCUAUAUCUAUAACCAAAAAUGCUAUAGUGAGAAAUUUAUAAAAAACAACAUGGAAGAAAUGGUGGGCAUGUUGCAUCCUGAUUCCCCCUUAAGAUAUUCAACUUCAAACUUUCAUUCUUCAUACCACAGUCAGGCUAGAUAUUUAUAGCAUAAUUACGAAAGAGGUUGCUGGGGCCAGAAAGAUUCCUUGUGGCUUUAUUAGCUCUUUUGCUACUAAAAUGCUAAAUCAUCCUAGAGGUAUUUCUGUGCUUUAAGGGCUAAUAUCUUUCUGAAAUAUCCAACUUUCAUAUAUGUAAGAUUAGGUUCUGAUAGAGAACUAGAACAUAAUAAGUAUGUUUAAAAUAACGUGUGAGUUCAAAUUAGUAAAGAACAAAAUUGUAUGACUGUGAACUAACUCAUUAACAGUGAAACUUAUUAAAGCAAAUUAAGUUUGAGGGUUUACGUGCCAGUAUAGUAAGUAAAGCUGGGGUUCCUAGGCUGUGAAUUUUAAGCCUGCCUUUAACUGUAUUUGCUGUAUUUUUUAAGGCAAAUUUCCAAGUGCCUCUGUGUAGGAAGCAUAAUGCUAUGCAUGUGAGAAAUCACUACACGGUGGCCAUUAGCUCAAAAAAAAAAAAAAAAAUCUAAGAAUAGCAAAGUCCCUAACUUUCAGGAGAUUAAAAUUUAAUUAGGCAGACAAAGUAUGUAUAGAAAAAACCCCUAUGACAUAGAUUGAUUGUAUAUUAUGCAUAUUAUCAUCAAUCUUACUAUGGUAAACUUUCAUGAAUAAAGAUUGUUAAAAGAUUUUACUUAAAGAUCCUUCCACAGGUUCUUUGGAGAUAUUCAGUCUUGGUUUUUCUUUUAUGGUUUCAAGUCACAAAACAACUUAAAAGUUCCCCACCCUUCUGCCCUCGGUGCCCUCCCGGCAGCGUCCCCACUCACCCCCAGCUGCUCACAGCCAGCGGAAUGGGAACGUUCCUUUUGUACAAACUCUGUACUUGAGAACUAACAGUAUUCAGUAAACAAGUCUGUUUAAUGAGGGUGUUUAGCUCUUUCUCACACACAUACUUUAAUUAAUGGAAACAAAAUGUAAGUCUUUGAGGGUCACAUAGGAGGAAGAGACUGGAAAAUGAAGCAUGGACUCCCUUAGCCCCAGUUCAGAGUCCAGUCACUAGGGAAUGCCCCACGGGUCUGCUUAUCUAAGCUCACGCUAAACACCUGC